rnacentral:rRNA from 1 species
UAAUACGUAGGGACCGAGCGUUGUCCGGAUUUAUUGGGCGUAAAGAGCGUGUAGGCGGUUCGGUAAGUCUGUCGUGAAAUCCUGAGGCUCAACCUCGGGCGUGCGAUGGAUACUGCCGGGCUAGAGGGUGGUAGAGGCGAGUGGAAUUCCCGGUGUAGCGGUGAAAUGCGCAGAUAUCGGGAGGAACACCAGUAGCGAAGGCGGCUCGCUGGGCCACACCUGACGCUGAGACGCGAAAGCUAGGGGAGCGAACAGG